rnacentral:rRNA from 1 species
UACGAAGGGGGCUAGCGUUGCUCGGAAUCACUGGGCGUAAAGCGCACGUAGGCGGCUUUCUAAGUCAGGGGUGAAAUCCUGGAGCUCAACUCCAGAACUGCCUUUGAUACUGGGAAGCUUGAGUCCGGAAGAGGUGAAUGGAACUGCGAGUGUAGAGGUGAAAUUCGUAGAUAUUCGCAAGAACACCAGUGGCGAAGGCGGCUCACUGGUCCGGUACUGACGCUGAGGUGCGAAAGCGUGGGGAGCAAACAGG